UGCAUGUCUAAGUAUAAGCACUUUAUACUGUGAAACUGCGAAUGGCUCAUUAAAUCAGUUAUCGUUUAUUUGAUAGUACCUUACUACAUGGAUACCUGUGGUAAUUCUAGAGCUAAUACAUGCUGAAAACCUCGACUUCGGAAGGGGUGUAUUUAUUAGAUAAAAAACCAAUGCCCUUCGGGGCUCCUUGGUGAAUCAUAAUAACUUAACGAAUCGCAUGGCCUUGCGCCGGCGAUGGUUCAUUCAAAUUUCUGCCCUAUCAACUUUCGAUGGUAGGAUAGUGGCCUACCAUGGUGGCAACGGGUAACGGGGAAUUAGGGUUCGAUUCCGGAGAGGGAGCCUGAGAAACGGCUACCACAUCCAAGGAAGGCAGCAGGCGCGCAAAUUACCCAAUCCCGACACGGGGAGGUAGUGACAAUAAAUACUGAUACGGGGCUCUUUUGGGUCUCGUAAUUGGAAUGAGUACAAUCUAAAUCCCUUAACGAGGAACAAUUGGAGGGCAAGUCUGGUGCCAGCAGCCGCGGUAAUUCCAGCUCCAAUAGCGUAUAUUAAAGUUGUUGCAGUUAAAAAGCUCGUAGUUGAACCUUGGGUCUGGCUGGCCGGUCCGCCUCACCGCGAGUACUGGUCCGGCUGGACCUUUCCUUCUGGGGAAUCUCAUGGCCUUCACUGGCUGUGGGGGGAACCAGGACUUUUACUGUGAAAAAAUUAGAGUGUUCAAAGCAGGCCUUUGCUCGAAUACAUUAGCAUGGAAUAAUAGAAUAGGACGUGCGGUUCUAUUUUGUUGGUUUCUAGGACCGCCGUAAUGAUUAAUAGGGAUAGUCGGGGGCGUCAGUAUUCAGCUGUCAGAGGUGAAAUUCUUGGAUUUGCUGAAGACUAACUACUGCGAAAGCAUUCGCCAAGGAUGUUUUCAUUAAUCAGGGAACGAAAGUUAGGGGAUCGAAGACGAUCAGAUACCGUCGUAGUCUUAACCAUAAACUAUGCCGACUAGGGAUCGGACGUGUUUCUAUUAUGACCCGUUCGGCACCUUACGAGAAAUCAAAGUUUUUGGGUUCUGGGGGGAGUAUGGUCGCAAGGCUGAACCUAAGAAGAAGUGGACGGAAG
rnacentral:rRNA from 1 species